rnacentral:lncRNA from 1 species
AGAAAAUAUUGGAUUUGGGUUAUAUUUUGAAGGUAAAGCUGAGGGGAUUUGCUUAAAGAUUGGAUGUUCAUUGUGAAAGGUAAAGCAAGGUCAAGUACAGCUCCACGAUUUUCAUUUUAACAGUUUAGUAAAUGGUGCUGGCAUUUAUUGAGAUGAGGAAGAAUAGGGUGGGUCUCGUAGGUGAACACCUUUGCUAUCAAAAUUAUUUCCUCUGUUAUGCAUUUCAAGGGUCUAUUUGGAAAAGCAUAAAAAUGAUUUUGACUCCUAAAUCUAAGCUGUAUCCAUCUUUCCCUACAGCAAUGCACAUAGAAAGCUACUGCUGCUGCUUGGAUGUUGAGGGAAGAAAUGGAAACAAGCAUACCUUGGGGAAAGAAACCACCAUUGCUACUUCAAAAUAUGACCAAAAUAAUAUUGAUUAUAAAAGGAUACAUCUUCAAAGAAAGUAAAGAAAGACAUUAAAUCUACAGUAGUGUUUUCUAUAUAAACCCAUGUGGAAUCACACUGUCUGAACAGUUGAUCCAGUUUUGAAGACUGAAAUGAGAGGCACAAGAACACCAUGGCAUGAGUGCCCCAAAUAUCUUUUUUUCUUCAUUUCAUUAUGUGCAAGUAGCUUUAUCAGAGUCUAACAUCUAAGAAUUGUUCACCAUCCAGAUUCUAUGAAAAGUCAACAUAAAGCGAUUUCAUAGGAAAAUAAUCUGAAAAACAACGUAUUUAUUCAUUUCAUGAUCACAUCACAGCCUUCACAUAUGUAAACAGAUGCUUGUAUUGAGGCUUGUUAGAAAAAAGAUCUAAUUGAGAAGCACUUUCUGGGUUUCAAGGAUUAUUUCAUAUUUCUCUUUUCUUUUCAAACUUCUUUCAG